CAGAUUUUUGAGCCUAAAAACUGACUAUCAUAAGCAUAAAUGAAGACAUUUGGAAGCCUGCUAACACCUGUAGAAAAGCCCUGACUUUGGAAAGCUUGUAAGCACUGAAUAAUAUUUCAUCAUCUGGACAUACCACAGUUUAUCCAUUCACCUACUGAAGGAUAUUGCUUCUAUGUUUUGGCAAUCAUGAGUAGAGCUGCUAUAAAUAUCUAUGUCCAGGAUUUUGUGUGGAUAGAGAGAGAAAAAGAGCAGGAGGAGGAGCAAAGGAAAAGGGAUAAGUAUACUCUAUGUUGAGCACGAAGCCUGACACAGGGCUCAAUCCCAUGACCUGAGAUCAUGACCUAAGCUGAAAUCAAGAGGCAGUUAUCUGGCUGACCAACCCAGGAACUUCUCUUCAACAAUACCUUAUGGGUAUUUUAAAGAUUUCUAAAAUUAUUUUCUCUUCUAUUGGAAUUAAACAUAUAACCAACAAAGUAACUUCUAAUAUGCAUCCAAAUGAGACUGAAGAGACACUCCUUUGAUGUUGGAGGAUGUCAUCAUAUGGACAUGACGGUCAGUUGACCCAUGAGCUAGCCCCGGGCAAUUACAGACUCUUCACUCCCUCUCCUGUCCUGGGGAUGUACAUUCUGCCCACCAUUUCCACACUAUGAGCUGCUUCAAGGACAUAGCCUUGAGAGAGUAAGGUAUUUUGAGACCAUCUGGACUGAAAAAAUGACUGAAUCCAGUUAAGGCUUCUACAUAAACUUUAAGAUUCUGACAGGUAGGUGUGGAGAUCUACUUAUUUUGUAGCCACCCAAGAGAAGCCUCAUAUGUAAGUUCCCUUGCUUAUUAAAACUGCCGCUUACCACCUUGAGUGGUCUGACUCUUUUUACAGUCUCUCCUUGACCUGUAUAUCGAAGCUAAUUUCAUAUUUCACCCAAGGAACUACUGAGGUUGCAACAUCAAUAUUUGGUCUACU